UGUCUCUCCUGCUGCGUUCCAGCUGCCAUUUGGAUUGUCCUGUUCUUAAGUGACGGAAGAUAUGUGGCUUGUUUACACACAGUCAUUAAUUUGAAAACUGAAGGUGGCAUGACGGAAAGAGUAACCAACAAAAAUAACCCUACAUGGUUAUGGUGUGACCAUAGCCAAACAGUGACCAAGGAUCAACCCAACGUACUAAGUUCAUAUUUCAUAUCUAAGUUGUGUGGUUUCAGUCUCCUCUUCCUCAUCUCGAUUGUGGCGCUGUGUUAUAAAUGCUUCAAGUUUAAGUUUCUGGACUUCAGUGAUGAGUUGCCCUGCUGCACAGCCCAUGGACAAACUUGUGGCUUGGCUCACUGUCGAAAAUGCUGUGAAGCCCACAAACGCACAUGCUGCGAAAGGCAUAAAAAUAUGCCCUGUUUAGCUCACCCACCAAAUGAUAUCCCUGCUGACUCACUUCAAUUGGUCAACCGAAAUCAAAAUGACACGCCUCACGCACCCUGCACCAAAAUAAACUGCCCAUGUCUCUGUCACCAGGACUGUAACUGUGAAUGUCACAAACCCUAGUCUUUACAUCCCCCUUCACUUAUUCAGUUCCAUCUUUGUCACUGAGUCCUCUGUCAUUUAUUCAGCUCCGUCCCCUGUCACUCUGUUAGUUAUUUCACUGUCACUGAUUCAGUGUCCUCCUCUAUCACUGAUUCAGUUUUAGUUCUGUUACUGGUUCAGUUUUCUUUUGUGUCACUGAUUAUUUUUUUUCAGUCACUGAUUCAGUUAUUUUCACUGUCACUGAUUUAUUGUUCCCCUCUAUCACUGACACCGUUUUAUUCUUGUUACUGAUUCAGUUUUCUUUUAUGUCAAUAAUGCAUUUAUUUUAUCAGUCACUGAUUCAGUUAUUUUCACUGUCACUGUUCAGUUAUUUUCACCGUCACUGAUUCAGUUAUUUUCACUGUCACUGAUUUAGUGUCCUCCUUAUGUUGCUGAUUCAGCUCCUUCCCCAGUCACUGAUUCAGUUCCUUCCUUAGUUCCUUUGUUGUUGCUGAUUCAGUUCCUUCCUCAGUUCCUUUUAUGUUGCUGAUUCAGCUCCUUCCCCAGUCACUGAUUCAGUUCCUUCCUCAGUUCCUUUGUUGUUGCUGAUUCAGUUCCUUCCUCAGUUCCUUUUAUGUUGCUGAUUCAGUUCCUUUUCCAGUCACUGAUUCAGUUCCUUCCUCAGUUUCUUUUAUCUUGCUGAUUCAGCUCCUUCCCCAGCCACUGAUUCGACUACUUCCCCAGUCAAUGUUUCAGUUUCUUUCCGAGUUACUGAUUCAGUUAUUUCCUCAGUUCCUUUUAUUUUGCUGAUCCAGUUCCUUCCCCAGUCACUGAUUCAGUUCCUUCCCCAGUCACUGAUUCAGUUCCUUCCCCAGUCACUGAUUCAGUUCCUUCCCCAGUCACUGAUUCAGUUCCUUCCCCAGUCACUGAUCCAGUUCCUUUCCCAGUCACUGAUCCAGUUCCUUUCCCAGUCACUGAUCCAGUUCCUUUCCCAGUCACUGAUCCAGUUCCUUUCCCAGUCACUGAUCCAGUUCCUUCCCCAGUCACUGAUUCAGUUCCUUUCCCAGUCACUGAUCCAGUUCCUUUCCCAGUCACUGAUCCAGUUCCUUUCCCAGUCACUGAUCCAGUUCCUUCCCCAGUCACUGAUUCAGUUCCUUUCCCAGUCACUGAUUCAGUUCCUUUCCCAGUCACCUUUCCCAGUCACUGAUCCCGUUCCUUCCCCAGUCACUGAUCCAGUUCCUUCCCCAGUCACUGAUUCAGUUCCUUUCCCAGUCACCUUUCCCAGUCACUGAUCCCGUUCCUUCCCCAGUCACUGAUCCAGUUCCUUCCCCAGUCACUGACUCAGUUCCUUCCCCAGUCACUGAUUCAGUUCCUUCCCCAGUCACUGAUUCAGU